AUUGAACGCUAGCGGCAUGCCUUACACAUGCAAGUCGAACGGAGUGGCGAACGGGUGAGUAAUGUAUCGGAACGUGCCCAGUAGCGGGGGAUAACUACGCGAAAGCGUAGCUAAUACCGCAUACUCUUGCAACGGCCGAUAUCGGAUUAGCUAGUUGGUGGGGUAACGGCUCACCAAGGCGACGAUCCGUAGCUGGUUUGAGAGGACGACCAGCCACACUGGGACUGAGACACGGCCCAGACUCCGACGGGAGGCAGCAGUGGGGAAUUUUGCACAAUGGGGGAAAGCCUGAUGCAGCCAUGCCGCGUGUGCGAUGAAGGCCUUCGGGUUGUAAAGCACUUUCGGCAGGAAAGCGGUACCUGCAGAAUAAGCACCGGCUAACUACGUGCCAGCAGCCGCGGUAAUAC
rnacentral:rRNA from 1 species